ACCCAGGUGCAAACAGACAGCAGGGGGUGGUCAGGAUACCCGCCACGGAGAUCCACCAGCAGAGGAUGAUGAUGUCCAACACCCUCUUUCACCAACAAAACUCUUUCCAUCUAUGCCUAACUAUAGUACAGUGAUAUUCUCAUGUUUGAGGGCGAUGAAAGAGUUUGGAAAUAGAUUGAGGUGAGGAUUGCAAUAACAUCACGAAUGUAACUAAUGCCUUUGAAUUGUAUCCUUAAAAUGCCAAGGUUUGUAAGCAUGGAAGUUCCUUAAAAAGUUAAAAACAAAACUACUCUCCGAUCCAGCAACUGCACUACACGGUCUUGCUGUGUCUACAUCUAAGCUGUUACGUUGGAUUUCAGGGUGGACACCUCCCACGCCUAGCACCCACCCCCAGGGUGGGCACCUGUAUCGCACCUGCCAUGGAGAUUGCCCUCAUACGUACCCCCUUAUGGACCUGAGAAGGAUUUGUUGAAUCACAGGGGUUACAGAUAUUCGUCGUGAAUAAGUACUGUCUACUGCUCUCCAGACUGCUGUCUACCCUAGUCUAAGAGCUGUGUGUAGCAUUUCCUACAGGCCCACAACCACAGCCACACCUGGCAUGGAAAUGAGAAUAUUGAUACGGCGGACACCAGAGUGAAAAGAUAAGAAAAAUAGGCCCUGCCCUUGGGCAGCCUGAGGCCCUCCAGCCUCCCCGAGACAGAAUACCCAUUCACAUCACAAGGCAUUUCUCUGUGUCACAACACAGAUGAGGAAUGCUGGGGUAGGAUGCCCUCCCCACUGCUACUAUCUUCUGAAAAAAUGACUCAAGUCUCAGGAUUGUGUGGAAUGAGGGAGAGUCACUGUUAAAUUUCUCAGGAUGUCACUUUGGUAAUCUCUGUUCCACCAGGAACAGUCACGAUUGCUGACCAUUCUGCCACCAUCCUGGGAGCUAUAUCCAUCUAAGGAAGAAGCAUAUGCGGACAGAACUGGUCAAGGCCUCACGGGCAAGGUUCUGAGGAACAAGCGGAAUCCAGGCCUGCUUGACUGCAAACCACAAUCUCUUCCUAUGCCUUCGUGGGACAUACUUCAAGAAGAAGGGGCAGAAAUAAGGGCUGCUCAAGAAGUUAACUUUGCUCCUUGGGGAACGUGGAAGUGUUCCCUGCAGAGUCACGACCGGGCUCCCCCAUGAAUGCUGCAGAUUCCAAGAGCACAGGAUUCAGCUCUGGACCAGUCAGCCUUGAUGAUAAGAUAGCACCAAAAAACAGAAACAAGACUUAGAAGAAUCAAGAAACCACCCUCGUGGGCUCGGUGGGAAGUUCUUGGAGAGAAGGGGGCAGCCCAGUGCCACCCACACUUUGACUUUAAUACUAUAACCACAUAUUAUGGUUAAAGGCAAGCCUUGCUAAUAUUCCAUAGUAGAGUGAUGAACACAUUAAAUGAUGUGUUCUUUCCUAAUAUUUUAUUUUCAUGACUUCUUCUUGAUCUCACAACCCUAAGAUCAUGACCUGAGUUAAAAUCAAGAGUCAGACACUUAAGUAACUGAGACACCCAUGUGCUCCUAGAUGUGUUCAUUUGGAUUAGAGUUCCAAUCUGUAUGUAACUAAAACAUCCUUUUAUUGACUCCUACCCCCUUCCACCAAUUAAUUAGUGUUGUUUUUUUUAUCCUUCAAG